AAACGGAGGCCUUGAGCGGUUACAGUUGUCGGAAUAACAAUACCGGUCCCGUUGGAAACUCGCCAGAGCGCACGGACGCAGUGCUGAACUUCCGAAACCAGAUAAUUAAGACGAGGGUUACCCAUAGCAAGAGAAGACUCUCAGGCCAGGUAGCUUGGUGAUGCACCAACUCGCGCCCCAACUCUUCCAACAGAAUCUCAAGAGAAGACAUGAUGAAUGCGAAGAAAUGAGUCAAAAAAAGAAAAGAAGCUCUUAUAUAAGGUAGGAAGGAGAGAGAGUACUGAUCGUAGCCCUAGGCCAUCAGCCCAGGCCCAUGCGAGAGUCCAGGAUUAAGGCCCAGUAAAGCAAAUAAAAGAGGAAGACCC
rnacentral:lncRNA from 1 species